CCUACGGGAGGCAGCAGUGGGGAAUAUUGCACAAUGGGGGAAACCCUGAUGCAGCCAUGCCGCGUGUGUGAAGAAGGCCUUCGGGUUGUAAAGCACUUUCAGUGGUGAGGAAGGGCGUAAGAUUAAUACUCUUGCGCAUUGACGUUAGCCACAGAAGAAGCACCGGCUAACUCCGUGCCAGCAGCCGCGGUAAU
rnacentral:rRNA from 1 species